UCCAAUUAAUCUCCUCCUUCUACUAUAUUAUUCGCGUACCCAUUUUACCUAUAAAUUCUCUUUUACUAUCAUUUUUAAUGAAUUUAUUCAUCCUGAAUUUUUGCAAUAUCAAUUCAUGUGAUAUUUUCUUUUUCUUUUUAAACAAAGGUGAUUCUAUUGGAAUAUAUACUGCAAUGAUGGUUCCAUAGAGGAUCAUUUUAUUUAAAAAGAAGUUCAAUACAAUACAAAGGUAUGUUAUAUGAAGCAAGAUCCUCUGAGGUGAAACGAAAAAAUAUCCCAAAAUCUAUUAGGGACAGCUGGAAGCCUCUCUACGAUACUAACGAUUUUAAAGAUAAAUCUACAAAAUGUUCAAAUAAUCGAGAAUUGAGAAGUGUGGUGAAGGAUCUGGUCCCUCACGCCGUAUUGGAGGCUCCCGGACUCACCGAGAACAUGCAAGACAAAUGGCAAUUGUACUUGGACGGCUACCUCAUCCACACAAACUUUUGAAAAGGACACAUACAAAAGGAAACGAUGAGUUUGUGGAUCUGAAGUCUAAGAGCACAUAUAUGAAUCUGGUGAGUCUCCGACAAUUGAUUUUUCAAUGAUUCACAUAUAUGAAGUUAGUGGGGUUCAGAAGGCAUGUAUAUAUGGUGUUGGUUCUCAUAAGCAACUUUCUAUGAGAACAUUGACUCAUCAUCUGCUUCAACAUCUCAACCUCAAGAUUGUGAUUUUGAUGCUUGAGUUGAGGAAUACGUUAAAUAAAUGAAGGAGGAGAUGGGAAAAGAGAUAAGACCUGAAUUACAUGAAUAAAUGAAACUUGAAAUGCAGCUAUAAAUGAAAGAGCAUGUUGAUAAGAUUCUCCAAGAACGUCUGUCUAUCCUCAUAGUUGGCCUACCUAAUCCAUCCCCUGACACGUAUUUGUUUUUACCUUUGUGGGCAACAACUGGUCUCCACAUUCUUUUUCACUUAAACCCCAAAUACUCUUCUUCCAACUUCUCUCUUAUUCCCUCACUAGGUCGUAUCUUUUCUCUCCGACAAUGAAUUCUUCCGUCUCUCCAAUUUUAUAUUGAUAAUGGAUAUAAAUCAACUUUUUGGUUAUGUUUUGAAGUUGAUGGAGGAUGUGAUGAGAGUACUUCGCUCCGUAUAAGGGUAUUUUUCAGGAGACUCAGAUUAUGAAAUGGCUAUUCAAAGUUACUGCGUGGCUUCUAUCUUAUUGAGAACUACUAGACUAUAUUAGUAAGUAAUAUGUCGUUUAAUUGAACCGAGAAUUUUGGUUUAAUUGGUACUAAUCAUUUUAAUAAAUUAUUUUCGUCUUGUGUACCUUUUCCGCUCAUAUUUGGGGUUUGUGAGUAUAUUUAUUGCCCAACUCCAUUUGAUUUUUCUAUGAAUUUAUGAAAAGGUUAAUAUAUAUGAAACGUGUAAUUCGUCUUUCAUUUAGCACUUUUUUCUAUUGGGUUUUCAAUUUUAAAAAUUGAUGAUUGCCUGCAUUCUACUAUGCUAUUUUGGGAUUUGUUGGGAAGUAAAGCUAAAAAGGUUCGAGCCUCUUAUUUUGAUUUCUCUAAUCGAGAUCCUGAUGCAUAUAAAUACAAGUGGUCCAAUGGGAGCAAGAGUUUCCAAGAAAAUUUGGAAUCUUUGGACUAUUAAUUUGCAGGUUACUAAAAUAUAUCAACAAGUCUUAUUUUCUCUAUCUUUUUUUUGCACAAAUUUCCUUGAAUUUAGAGUCUGUAACUUAAAGAUAUUUGUGUUUAUCACUUUAAAUCAGUGUAUAUUUUGCUUAUAAUCACAUAAUAUUUUGUUCUUCUGUUAAUUUCUUUCACAUACUUGAUCUACCUAAAAUAAAAAGUAUUUUGUGUUGCACAUGAGCUUUUGCUUUGAGUAGCAAGGUAAAUAUAUGUCUGUGUCAAACAUUAAUGUGCAAAGAUAGAGAUAGUUGUGAGAUACUCUAGAUGAUCUUUAUGUUUUGGUGACAAUGAACUGAAAGGGUUCCCUAGGAAUAGGUUACGUUAAUAAGACUUUUCUUACUUUACUAUCAAGUAUCAACAACUCUGGACGAAAAAUAAAAUGUCAAUUAACUUGGAAACUAUGUGCAAGUAAAAAAUAACUUGUUGACCGAACACAUGUAAAACUAUGAAUACCAAAUUAAGAAAUCACAAAAAUUGAGGUGUGCAAAAAGAAAUAAAUGUGAUGCUGAAGAUGUAAACGACAAAAGACAAUCUUCUUUAAGUGGUAAAACCUUUAGUUUCAUGGACUCUUCACUUUUGAUGCCGCACCCGUAUCGAAUUUUUCAAAAAUACACUAUUUUUGACGAAUCCAACACGCACCCGUUGACAUUUUGAAGAGUCCGAGCAACAUAGGUAAACCCUAAGCAUAAGUGAAAGUGGAUGCUUUUGUUACUUCAUACUAUUUUUAUGAGAUUAUGAAAUGAAUAGUGAAAAUAUAUUACUAUAAUACUAUUUAAUUGUACUGUGUGGAAGAUUGCAUCAAUUGAAGAAGAUUAUACAACAUCAAUUCUCAUGCUACAAGAUAGCUCGUCCAAUUGUCAUAUUUCUAAAGACCGUGUUACAAAAUUGGCUGAACAAACAACACCUAAUUUCAAUAGCAACUUCACGUCACUGCCAAGGGAAGAACUUGAAUAGUAUGUGAUGUUGUUGUGCUACUGCCCAAGUGAUGAAGGUCUGAUGGCAUGGCUUUGUGCAAUAUUAAUAUGAUCACAUGGAUCAUUCAUAUUUUCGUCUCUUACGUCCUGAAGAAUUGCCUCUGAUGAAAUCGCCCUGUAUGUUUCAAUGCAACAACAGUCGAAUUAUUACAUUCUUACUUAUAAAAGAACUGCAAACAUAAGAUGGAAGCAGGGCAAUAAGUUUAUGUACCUCAUUAUUAGUAUUUUGUACAAUGUCUUCAACAAAGGACAAAGUUCAACAGGAGCUACAUGUUUGUUUAUAAUUUUCAUCAAGAUGCAAAACAUUUAAACUGGACAGACUGAGAAGCUCAUAGAAAGCUUUUAUUGCUGAAACUCCCUGCACAAAUUCAUACAGGUUUUAAGUUGCUCAGCCUCUUCGCAAUCAAAAAGAGAAAGUAAGACUUGAAAAGGACAUGAUGAUUUUAGAAUCAUACAUCUAUUUGAAUAAUAGAAGCAACUACAAUUCUCAAGGGAAUGGUGAAAUAUGCGUGCGCAAGGUUUUUAAAGCCUAAUUACAUAAUUCUAUGAAAGAUGAACCUGAAACAAAAACUUUUGCGGAUAAUACUGUUCAUAAAGAGGGGACAAAAUGAAUAAAUUAUAUCAAAAGGUGUUAACAUUUGUCUAUGCAAUGGAGCUCGUUUCUUUGUGUUACUCACAAUAUUAACAAAUUUUAUGUGAACGCUUAUCUUUAAUGCAAUAUUUCAUUAUUACCAAUGAAACCAACAAUUGGAUUUCAUAUUGUUGAAACUUUUGCCUGUAGGUAAUAGAAUGCAAUUAAAUAAUUGUAUACCUGUAAUGUUGGGUGAAGGUCUUUGCAUUGAUGCGAAGAUUUUAGAAUGUUUAACUGAUGAAACUUUUUAGAUUUACUUAGGCGUGUUACUAUUUUUAUAGAAUGCACAUCACUAAUGAUCAUCCUGAUUCUAGAAAAGUAGUUAUGAUCAUCACCUUUUCUGAAUGUAAAUUAGAACAAUACCAGCAACAA